ACGUCGUUGUCAUUCCCUGUGGCCCCCCUGGCUUUAUGCAGAGCCGCCUGAAUACGGAAGUGAGUCCGGGAUUCCAUGGAGUAGUUUUUGUAAUUUUGCCUGAAACGUGACAACACAGACAUUUGUGAUCACAAAACAGACAUCGUCCAGAACUGACCAGUGGAGCAGCAGGGAGAGGGAUGGGGUUUUCUACGAGGUAGCGACGGGCUUUCCUGAUAGCAAACUUCUCCGUUGGUAAAGACUUUCCAGCUAUUUUCUGUUUAAGCCCUGGAACCUGCCUG